rnacentral:rRNA from 1 species
UACGUAGGCGGCAAGCGUUAUCCGGAUUUACUGGGCGUAAAGCGUGUGUAGGCGUCUCGUAAAGUCGAUGGUGAAAUACCCGGGCCUAACCCGGGAACUGCUGUCGAUACUCACGGAAUUUGAGGACAAGAGAGGCCAUCAGAACUUUGUAAGUAGCAGUGAAAUGCGUUGAUAUACAAAGGAAUACCAAAGGCGAAGGCAGGUGGCUAGAUUGUGCCUGACGCUGAGACACGAAAGCUAGGGGAGCGAAAGGG